AGAUCUUUAGUUUAACGGUAAAACGGACAACCGAUAAUUGUCAAAAGCUUGGUUCAACUCCAGCAAGAUCUA
rnacentral:tRNA from 1 species